CAGCCACUAGCUAGCCUGAUGGUGGAAGGGUGGAGACACCUCUGGGGCGGAAGAGACACCCCUCAAAUGGUUUCACCCUUUCUCUCUCCAGGGCUGGCCAAGCCUAGAAACAGACUGAGACAGGGAAGCCAGAGCGACAGCAGUGAUGGUCUGGACUCCGGUUUGUUACAGCCAAUGACACUUCAGCCUUCCCGCUGUGUAUCUGCCUAUCAAUUCCUUGCCAUCACGCCACUGUGAAUUGAACUGAGGGGGUUAUAAUUCGAGGGUUCACUUGAGGACAUUCUGUCUGCUGGUGCUGUUAAAAUAAUAAGUGAAUAUAGAAGAAUCCCUGAAAGAGAACUUGAGGUACGCAUCCAUUGGGAACUGUCUUCUAGAACCAAGAAUAAGCAAGGCUUGGGAGCAGCUGGUAUUGAGAAUCUGAUUUGCUGAGAAGAUGGAGGAACUACUCACCAGGGAGUAACCAGCUGUUCUGUCUUCUGUAGCCCGUUCCAUGGCUGUUCAUAACACUUGGGAACCCAUGUCCCCACUGGCUGCUCCCUCAAAACAAGCCUCCAUUACUUGAGUGGGAAUGGAAUCUUUGGCCAUUAAAAGAGGUGGCAGGAAAUGCAGCA